CCUACGGGAGGCAGCAGUGGGGAAUCUUGCGCAAUGGGCGAAAGCCUGACGCAGCCAUGCCGCGUGAAUGAUGAAGGUCUUAGGAUUGUAAAAUUCUUUCACCGGGGACGAUAAUGACGGUACCCGGAGAAGAAGCCCCGGCUAACUUCGUGCCAGCAGCCGCGGUAAUACGAAGGGGGCUAGCGUUGCUCGGAAUUACUGGGCGUAAAGGGAGCGUAGGCGGAUAGUUUAGUCAGAGGUGAAAGCCCAGGGCUCAACCUUGGAAUUGCCUUUGAUACUGGCUAUCUUGAGUACGGAAGAGGUAUGUGGAACUCCGAGUGUAGAGGUGAAAUUCGUAGAUAUUCGGAAGAACACCAGUGGCGAAGGCGACAUACUGGUCCGUUACUGACGCUGAGGCUCGAAAGCGUGGGGAGCAAACAGGAUUAGAUACCCUGGUAGUCCACGCUGUAAACGAUGAGUGCUAGUUGUCGGCAUGCAUGCAUGUCGGUGACGCAGCUAACGCAUUAAGCACUCCGCCUGGGGAGUACGGUCGCAAGAUUAAAACUANAGAGUAGUAGCGUGNGAGAGCGACGACGACGACGACGGAGGAGGAG
rnacentral:rRNA from 1 species